CAACGGCCGCGGUAUCAUGACCGUGCAAAGGUAGCGUAAUCACUUGUCUUUUAAAUAAAGACCUGUAUGAAAGGCAAAACGAAAGUUCAACUGUCUCUUUAAUCCAAUCAAUGAAAUUUAUCUUUUCGUGCAGAAGCGGAAAUGAAUAUAUAAGACGAGAAGACCCUAUGGAGCUUUAAACACACUAUUAACUACUAUAAUACUUCAACCAACAGGAAAAAAAUAAAACCACAUAGCUAUAAUACAAGUUUUUGGUUGGGGCGACCGCGGAGAAAAAGAAACCCUCCGAGAUAAACAAUUUAGAAUAACACUUCGAAAAUUAAAAAAUUUAUUAUAAAUGAUCCACUAAGUGACCAACGAACCAAGUUACCCUAGGGAUAACAGCGCAAUCCUUUCUAAGAGUCCAUAUCGACGAAUGGGUUUACGACCUCGAUGUUGGAUCAGGACACCCAAAUGGUGCAGCCGCUAUUAAAGGUUCGUUUGUUCAACGAUUAAAGUCCUAC
rnacentral:rRNA from 1 species